GAUGAACGCUGGCGGCGUGCCUAAUACAUGCAAGUCGAGCGAACGGACGAGAAGCUUGCUUCUCUGAUGUUAGCGGCGGACGGGUGAGUAACACGUGGAUAACCUACCUAUAAGACUGGGAUAACUUCGGGAAACCGGAGCUAAUACCGGAUAAUAUUUUGAACCGCAUGGUUCAAAAGUGAAAGACGGUCUUGCUGUCACUUAUAGAUGGAUCCGCGCUGCAUUAGCUAGUUGGUAAGGUAACGGCUUACCAAGGCAACGAUGCAUAGCCGACCUGAGAGGGUGAUCGGCCACACUGGAACUGAGACACGGUCCAGACUCCUACGGGAGGCAGCAGUAGGGAAUCUUCCGCAAUGGGCGAAAGCCUGACGGAGCAACGCCGCGUGAGUGAUGAAGGUCUUCGGAUCGUAAAACUCUGUUAUUAGGGAAGAACAUAUGUGUAAGUAACUGUGCACAUCUUGACGGUACCUAAUCAGAAAGCCACGGCUAACUACGUGCCAGCAGCCGCGGUAAUACGUAGGUGGCAAGCGUUAUCCGGAAUUAUUGGGCGUAAAGCGCGCGUAGCGGUUUUUUAGUCUGAUGUGAAAGCCCACGGCUCAACCGUGGAGGGUCAUUGGAAACUGGAAAACUUGAGUGCAGAAGAGGAAAGUGGAAUUCCAUGUGUAGCGGUGAAAUGCGCAGAGAUAUGGAGGAACACCAGUGGCGAAGGCGACUUUCUGGUCUGUAACUGACGCUGAUGUGCGAAAGCGUGGGGAUCAAACAGGAUUAGAUACCCUGGUAGUCCACGCCGUAAACGAUGAGUGCUAAGUGUUAGGGGGUUUCCGCCCCUUAGUGCUGCAGCUAACGCAUUAAGCACUCCGCCUGGGGAGUACGACCGCAAGGUUGAAACUCAAAGGAAUUGACGGGGACCCGCACAAGCGGUGGAGCAUGUGGUUUAAUUCGAAGCAACGCGAAGAACCUUACCAAAUCUUGACAUCCUUUGACAACUCUAGAGAUAGAGCCUUCCCCUUCGGGGGACAAAGUGACAGGUGGUGCAUGGUUGUCGUCAGCUCGUGUCGUGAGAUGUUGGGUUAAGUCCCGCAACGAGCGCAACCCUUAAGCUUAGUUGCCAUCAUUAAGUUGGGCACUCUAAGUUGACUGCCGGUGACAAACCGGAGGAAGGUGGGGAUGACGUCAAAUCAUCAUGCCCCUUAUGAUUUGGGCUACACACGUGCUACAAUGGACAAUACAAAGGGCAGCGAAACCGCGAGGUCAAGCAAAUCCCAUAAAGUUGUUCUCAGUUCGGAUUGUAGUCUGCAACUCGACUACACGAAGCUGGAAUCGCUAGUAAUCGUAGAUCAGCAUGCUACGGUGAAUACGUUCCCGGGUCU
rnacentral:rRNA from 1 species